AUCUGUUCUAAUUUGAUAGACAUAAUUACUCGCUACUUGUUGUUGGUGAGAGGUCAUAGAUAUCUCAUAGAGUUAGUUGAAAUGCGCACAAACUGGUUUAAACACUAUAAUUAUUUUUUAAAAAUAAAUUAACACAUAAAUCGAACCAAGAUUACUAUUAUUAUUUUAUUCGCUUCCAAACCAAAAAGUGGCUGUAGUUUAGUGGUAAGAAUUCCACGUUGUGGCCGUGGAGACCUGGGCUCGAAUCCCAGCAGCCACAUUUAUUAUUUUUAUACCCUUUUCGAUUUUUUUUAUUUGUAUUUAUUUUUUAAUUCUCAACUUAUUUUUUAGUAACUGUUAACCUAAAACCUACAAUUAAAUAUGCAAUUUGCCUGUUUAUUUCAAACUAAUAAAUCUCAAUAUCCUUUGGCUACUUUUUUUUUUUUUUUCUCCUUUUUCACUUUGUGCCAUCAGAUCGAACAGAAGACUAAUAAGUUCUCCAACAAAUCCAAUCCCAUUCGACAUUUUAUUCAAAACAAAGAUAAUGGAUGAUCAAGAUUUACGAUUCUUUGCCAACUUUCUUGGCAUCUUUAUUUUCGUAUUUGUUAUCGCUUAUCACCAUGUAAUGGCUGAUCCUAAGUAUGCAGCCAACUAACUGAUGCCGAUCAUCCAGUGAGUAACUUUUUAAUGAACUCGCGAUGAAUUUCAUUACACCGUUUAUUGUCACCAGACAGUUCUUGCCUGAAUUUUUUGAGAUACUAGUAUUUUUGGACUGAGAAAGUUGAAGUUUUUUUUC